UAUCGCUGCAAUGGCGGCUGCGGACGAGGACUGCAGUGUGUGGCUCGGUCGGAAGCUUUCAGUCUCUACCUCGGAGCGGGCUGGGACGCUCCCGUGUUUCGUUCCCGAGCAGGCGCGCGGCGCCGGGACCGCGUCUUCGCUCAGUAGCGCCGAGACGUGGCCGCUGAAGCGCUACGGCCGCUUUGUCUCCCCGGGAGACCCACCCUGUGGGGCGGGAGCUUCGGUUUCUUGGAAGGUUUUGGAGUCAAAUGAAGAAUCAGGCCAUCUUAUUCUCACCAUUGUUGUAUCUGGACAUUUCUUCAUUUCCCAAAGACGGGCAGUACAGGAAGGUUUUUCAUUAAUUGAUGCCCACAAAUGGUUGAAGAUAGUAAGAAGAGCAGAUUGUCUGUUGUUUGGUUCAAAGUUAAAAAAUGAAUGCCGCAUGUUUCGUAUUCAGUUUGGUGGAGAUUCAAAAGAGCAGGCGCUGGAACACUGCUAUAAUUGUGUGCAGAAACUUGCAGAUUAUGUAACAGUUCAGGUAACAGAUGAGCAAAGCCAAGAGCUGCACCAAGGUCAUAGUCAGCUGGCUAACAGUGAAAGUCGAGUGAAGGACUUUGAACAAAACACAUCGAUGCUGCAUGGACCAAGUCACAUUAUAGAUAAGCCUCCAGCCCAGUCAUGGAGAAGCUUUCCAGAGAGACAGAGAUCCGUGACAGAGCUAGCACAGUCUGUGCUGAAAUCAUCAACAUUUGCGCUCCCCCUUGCAUAUCAGCAUUCUGUGUGGAGUGCUGAAGAUUUAGGACCUUUUAUUCACCUAUGUCUCAUGGAUCAGAACUUCCCAGCAUUUGUGGAAGAAGUGGAGAAGGAGUUGAAAAAACUGACAGAAGGUUGAGGAAAUGUUAAUACAGUAUUUCAGUUCAUUUAGUGGUCACACCCAGCAGCAGUGUAACAGGCAGCUUUGCUUGCAUAGGAAUGGAGGACAAAGGAGACCAUUUUAGAAAGCUAUCAGUAUUUCAGCUACUAACUUUAAAAGAGUCAACAGUAGAGGCAGUCUGAUGCUGUCUGCAGUACACUGGACUGAAGCCAUGGACACACUACGGUGGUGGUUACAGGAGAGCACAACCUGCAGUGACUCUGGAAUGGAAAGCAUAUAUGCUACCAUUGGAGAAUGUUACAAGCAUCAUACCUCCAAAAAGCAAGUAAUGGAAAACACUUUUAAUCUAGUCUACAGAACUAGAAAAUUUGUGUAAUAGAGACUUAUCCAGAAGUGCUUUGGGAAUUGCUUUAUUUUCCAAAUGUUUUUCAUAUUCAGCCAAUAAUAGACCAUUUUAGGUCUGCUUUUCAAACUGUAUGUUGAUGACCUGGAGCUAAUUGGGACUUUAAUGGCUAUCGCGGCCAGUUUAGACCUAUUCUUACCCACCUGUCAGUUACAUAGUAAUGUUUAUGAUAUUUAUAGGUGGAGCUGAAUGAAAUAAUGGGAACUAAGUGAAGAGCAAGGCUUUUUACAGGACUUGUUGGGUGCUUUCAAACCUAUCCUGGGAAUAUAUGGAAAUUACUAAACACAGAAGUUUGAAGCAAGAAGAGUUAAAGAUUGAGAAUGUAACUUAAGAGUUCCCUGAUGGCUGACCACUUGAAGUUUUAAAAUGUUAGCAGAAGAUACUAAUGUUUCAUCAAUCUGUAAGAAAGCAGAAAAGCAAGCAGGCAUUGCUCUUUAGUUCUGAGGAGAUAAUGCAUUGUGGAAUGGGUACUGGGUAAGGUGUGCACACAAAAAAAAGCUGUCCCACUCCAAAAAGGAACAUCCUGAAGAUUCUCACGAGGAAAAUCCUUCCCAUACCUCACGUUUGAGGUGUCAAUUGUAUAUGAGCUGUGGUUUUCAAAUAAGUGCAUCCAACUGGAAUCCAUAAUCUUGUGGAAGGACAGUAUGGGAGCCUUAGUGUCUAGUUC